rnacentral:misc_RNA from 1 species
UGAUCAACGCAAACGCGUUCUCUGAUCUGCUUUUUCGCGUGCAGGAACGCCCUAGCUUUCUCUGCACCUGCUGUGGCGCCUCUCUUCUAUUUACCCAUAUAUAUGUGAAUACACAUAUGUGAUCUUGUAAACUUGUGUGCUUGUUUGGAGGCCUGCGGGGCGUCAUACUUGUUUCAGCAAUCCUGUGUGACUAUGCCCUCCUCCGACGCACGCUACCUCUCUUGAUACGUCUAGCUCGCUACGCGUGACUAAUCUUAUCCCUUCCCCGCUUAUUCCAGCACGAGUGCGCGCCCGUGCUAGCGGCCGUCUCUGUGGGUGCGUGUGCGCGUGCAGACGGCGUCUUCUUUAUUCCUUUAUGGGCUAUCCACCUAUUUCUCCCAAGCUGCACGUGUCUUCGUUCGAAUACGACCUUAGCAUCUGAUUGGCUUGGCGCACUGCCAAUUCCGGCUACCGUGAAGCCGUGUCGGUUGCCGCGCUCUCUCUUCGCCUCCGACUCACUCGCACAUCCGCAGCGUCGGCUUUAUUGUUGUGAGCCUCGCUGUCGCCAUCACAGCCUGGCACACACACAUACAUAUAUAUGUAUGUAUAUAUAUAUAUAUGAAUACACGCCCUCCGUCAACGUACGCGCACAUCUGCCGCAUCUUUUCCACAGCCCUGUGGUCAAUCGUCUCUGUGAAUCGCCUCAGCGGAUAAAGAACGGGCAUCCCCCCCCUCCCCCCCACACACACACACGCACGCGCGCAGAGCAACCAAUCAUGCCGGCGACGCUCAUGAAUGAGAAAGGUGACCCGUGGCGGUGGGUCGUGCUAGCCCUUUUCUGCCUCUACAGCGCGUCGAACGCAAUACAGUGGAUCACGUACUCGUCGAUCGCGACGGCAACUCGCACCUUCUUUGACCUGACGACGAAUCAGCUGAACAUGCUCUCCUCCGUCUACAUGAUCGUCUUCGUCGUCGGCGCCUACUUUACCUGCACAACCUUUGAGCGCUGGGGGGUGAGGCGUGGUGUUCUUAUCGGAUGUGAACUGAACGCCAUGGGGUCGAUCCUGAAGGUGGCCCCCGGGUUGCAGAAGCCGUGCUACCUCACCCUGGUUGUGCCGCAGACCCUCAAUUCGAUCGCGCAGCUCUUUGUGCUGUCGACGCCGCCGCUGAUUGCGGCGCAGUACUUUGCGCCGCACCAGCGUACCUUCGCGACAGCCAUUGCAGCCACGGCGAACAGCCUCGGUAACGCCAUCGCUCUUUUCGCACCACCCUUGAUCGUCAGGUCUAGUACCGGCACCACGAAGGAGUUCAUGCUGUUGUUCUGCCUUGAGAUGGGCUUCUGCGUCUUGAUCACUGUCGGCGUCUUCCUCUUCCUGCGGCCACCAAGCUUCAAGGCACCCAGCCAGGCACUGCUCGGGGAACUCGCGUCUGCCGAGGGUCGCGCAGCGAGCGGCCGCGCGCAGCGCCCUGUUGCACAGCAGCUGCAUCAGCGGCGCGGUGACCGAGAGGAGGGGGUCGCUCCCGACGAGUUGCAGAGUGAGGCCUGCAGUAAUGUGCAGAACGGCGACCGCAGCAGCGUUGAGGAUAAGAACGAUGACAGCGGCGUCGGCGCAGGACGAGGCCGCGCUGUCGCUCACGGCCAGCGUCACACGGCGUCAGGUGAACCAAUAGCAUCACACAUCUCUGCGUGCGCCGGUGCACGCGGCAACAACACCAGCGUCAACCGCCCUGUUGUUGAAUUCGCGGAUGCGGAAGGUACGGCUAAGCCGGGCGGCGGUGCCUACAGCGCGCAGGAGGUCACUCUGGACCCAUCCCCGGAUUUUUACACCGAGUUUGACCGCGGCAGCAUGAGCAAGCACAAGGCGAUGACGAUGUGGCACCGGCUUCGGCACAACGAGCACGUGAUCACGUUCCUCGAGGUCGGUCACACCAUCUACCUACUUCUAUGCCGCCGCGACUUCGUCUUUUUGCUUGGCGCCUUCAGUAUCAGUAUGGGCAGUGUCUGGACCUACGCCUCUGUGCUGGCGCAGAUCUUGGAGCCCUUCGGCGUGGCGGCCGAGCUGGCUGGCGGCAUCGGUGCUUUCAACGUUAUUGUCGGGACGGUGGUGUCCUACCUGGUCGGCCUCUGGGUGGACCGCACACGGCACUAUAAGUACCCUCUGCUGGUUUGCUUGAUGGGCUCCGUGCUGUGCUGCAUCGGGCUCAUCAUCAUCAUGCUGAAGGCGCCGAGCCACACCCGCACAAUGGAUGGGCUCUGCUCUUUCAUCUACAUCUUUGCCGGCGUCUUCCAGAACACCGCCAUUCCGAUCUGCUUCGAGUUCGCGAUGGAGAUCUCCUACCCACUGCCCGAGUCCGUGCCCGGCGCCCUCCUCAUGGCCGGCGCAAACCUGUGCUCUCUAAUCAUGCUCUCCGUCGCCUCUAUGAUGCUGGGCAACGGCGUUGCAUCGACCUCGGCGUGUGUCAGUGUGCUCAUUCUCAUCACGUGCGUGUGCGUUGUCGGCGCCAUUCUCGCUGUUUUCCCGCGCGAGAAGCUCUACCGUCGCGAUGCAGAGGUGGAGGCACGGCAGCAGUUGGUGGCCGCCUCCGCCGACAGCUAUGCGGCUAGCACUGCGGCGACUCGUCAGUUCUACGCGAACUCAUUGACGGCGCAUCCGCAUCCGCAGCCGCCGCUACCGCUGUCAGGGCUGGAGAAUGCUAGGCGGGGUGCACCAGCGCCGCUCAGCGGCGCCACCGGCAAGGACGCGGAGACCGAGAAGGAGAUGCUGCCGCGUGCGGCACGCCGGCCUUCCGAGACAAAGGCGCCUCCUGCCGUCGUCGCGGUGUGCAAGAGCGUCUUCGCCGAUGAUGAGCUUCUCGACGACGCCCUGGUGGAUGCGCGGCAGCUGCAGAACCGAAUGACGCGAGAGGAGAUGAAUGGCGGCACGCCGGGACUGGCACAACACCAAGAGGAGGAGAUGUGCGCGCGGCACCGCUGAAGUCGUCAACGCGUCUACAACCCCUCAACCACACAUGCUCACCUCCGCUUCGCGUUGCUCGGAACUCCUCCCACUACAUGGACGCGACAACGAUGACGAGUGUGCUUAGUAUUCUUUCAGCUGUGCGUGUGCGCCGGUGGAUGUGAAUAUGCGUGCCUGCCCGAGUGUAAUGUGCGAGCGACGCUACUCUCGCCUCAACGACUCGCCUGCUUGCGCCCGUCGUUUUUUUGAGCUGACUGCGGUCUUGCUCGGCGUAGCCAUGCCGUGAGCGUUCUCUGCGUUUGCAGGCGCGCGCGCACACACACACGCACGCACACAGCGUGUGCACCAGAAGGCCCUUCUGCGUAAAGGACACGCCCACCUAUCUUCAGAUAAUCAAUCUCUAGAGCGAAAGCGAGC